AUUGAACGCUGGCGGCAGGCUUAACACGUGCAAGUCGAGCGGGGUGAUGGUGCUUGCACUAUCACUUAGCGGCGGACGGGUGAGUAAUGCUUAGGAAUCUGCCUAUUAGUGGGGGACAACAUCUCGAAAGGGAUGCUAAUACCGCAUACGUCCUACGGGAGAAAGCAGGGGAUCACUUGUGACCUUGCGCUAAUAGAUGAGCCGAAGUCGGAUUAGCUAGUUGGUGGGGUAAAGGCCUACCAAGGCGACGAUCUGUAGCGGGUCUGAGAGGAUGAUCCGCCACACUGGGACUGAGACACGGCCCAGACUCCUACGGGAGGCAGCAGUGGGGAAUAUUGGACAAUGGGGGGAACCCUGAUCCAGCCAUGCUGCGUGUGUGAAGAAGGCCUUAUGGUUGUAAAGCACUUUAAGCGAGGAGGAGGCUCUUUUGGUUAAUACCCAAGAUGAGUGGACGUUACUCGCAGAAUAAGCACCGGCUAACUCUGUGCCAGCCGCCGCCGUAA
rnacentral:rRNA from 1 species